rnacentral:rRNA from 1 species
AGUGAACGCUGGCGGUAGGCCUAACACAUGCAAGUCGAACGGCAGCACAGUAAGAGCUUGCUCUUACGGGUGGCGAGUGGCGGACGGGUGAGGAAUACAUCGGAAUCUACUUUUUCGUGGGGGAUAACGUAGGGAAACUUACGCUAAUACCGCAUACGACCUACGGGUGAAAGCAGGGGAUCUUCGGACCUUGCGCGAUUGAAUGAGCCGAUGUCGGAUUAGCUAGUUGGCGGGGUAAAGGCCCACCAAGGCGACGAUCCGUAGCUGGCCUGAGAGGAUGAUCAGCCACACUGGAACUGAGACACGGUCCAGACUCCUACGGGAGGCAGCAGUGGGGAAUAUUGGACAAUGGGCGCAAGCCUGAUCCAGCCAUACCGCGUGGGUGAAGAAGGCCUUCGGGUUGUAAAGCCCUUUUGUUGGGAAAGAAAAGCAGCAGGUUAAUACCCCGCUGUUCUGACGGUACCCAAAGAAUAAGCAUCGGCUAACUUCGUG